GCUGAGGUGUGUCUGUGUCGCUAGGGUGACACCAAUGACAGGAGUGUCUCCCUCUGUGACUUCACAUCUGGUCAGUUUGGGGAGGGCAGGGCGCAUCUCCACAUCCCUCCCAUGCAUGCCAAGACAGAAAACCAGAUAGCUACAACUUUAGUUUAUGAGUCUUGACUGUUACUGAGCUCAGCUCCAUGGAAGACUGAAAAAGAAAAUGAAGCUAAUUUUAAAGAAGAGGACUGAGAGGUGGAAAAAGAAAUAUUGCUUCAGCUCUAAGAGCAAGUAUCUAAUAACAACUCAUGUCUUUGGAAGGAAUACUAACAUGAAGAGAGCUGUUCUACAAUUUGUUCUGUGUCAGAAAACAAAGAAAAAAUGUUUUAAACUGAAGUGAAGCAUCCAGCUGUUACCUUUUUUGGUUGAUUUGUUUGUUUGUUUGGUAGUUUUGCUGCUUAUUGGAUUUCAAAUAAGACUGCCAAAUUGUUAGAGUCAUAGUCAUAAAGUCACAGUCAUUGUAGCCUGCUGUAUUUCUUCAACUCUGAUUUUAGCUUGUCUGAAUUUGUUGUCUACAUUCCCAAAAUGUAAGGGUGAGGGUGAAGAAUGUGGUCCCUGUGCACAGACUUUCCAUUGCCUGGCCCAACAGAAAUAUAACAUGUCAGUUGCACUUGUGUUUUAAAUGAGUGUAUAUGUUCACUUAGAUGAAAGGAAAGUUUGAUAUUAAACAAAUGUCAGCUUGUGUAAGUGGAAAGGUUUGUUUUGUUUUAUUGAGAUUUUUUUGUCUGAAAUCUUUUAUCAAACAUUUAUCAUCAAAGAUGUGCAGGUAAUAUUUGCAGCUCUUCAAAGUAGAAUGGAAUAAUCAAGCACUUAUGCUGUACCCUGUGAAUCAUUUCUGGGGACUUUUUAUCUAGAAAAAUGUGUUAAAGUUUUGUGUUGUUCCCCCCUACCCUACCAACAGGAGAAUAGUUGUUCAGACUAUCCAAAGGAAGAGAAUUUCCUAAUCUUUAACUAGUAGUGCUCUCAAACAGCAAAGCAGAGAAGCUCAGUAAUAAUUGGAAACCAAUCCAUGGCUCUUCAAGUGUAUUUGUUUCCAUUAUGACUUGUGUUUCUGAAUUCUGGUCCUUAAUGCAUUAAGCUGCAAUAUUUUGUGUGACUGUAGAAUACAUCAAGGGCCAUUUUUUUUUUUUUUUCAUGCAGAAUAAAGCUCAGUAUUUCUCAAAUAAACCA
rnacentral:lncRNA from 1 species